rnacentral:rRNA from 1 species
GGUGGCCUAACCCCUUGUGGGAGGGAGCCGUCGAAGGUGGGAUCGGCGAUUGGGACGAAGUCGUAACAAGGUAGCCGUACCGGAAGGUGCGGCUGGAUCACCUCCUUUCUAAGGAG